GAAGGACCAGAGUGAGGACAUAUGUGUGGGAGAAGAUUCUAGAAGCUCUUGAGAGAAUCCAGAUGAAAGUCAGCGAGGAGCUGUACUGCUGGAGCUGCAGAGAAAAUGGAAAG
rfam:Equus caballus chromosome 24, whole genome shotgun sequence.